GAGCCACCCAGACACACAAAAGCUAAAGGAGUCCAUUACCACUAAACUGGCCUUAAAAAAAGUGUUAAAGGUACUUCUUUAAGCUGAAAAUAAUGGGCAGUAAUUAAUAACA